rnacentral:lncRNA from 1 species
GGUGAUCUUGGAGGUCCUUUCCAACCCAACCGUUCUGUGAUCGUUUUGUGCUCACUGUCUGGUGGUCUCAUCGAGGCAGAUCCCGCGCCACAUGAAAGUGCAACAUAACACAGCAGAGGGCUGUUCUGAAAUCCCCUCCCCAGCUCCCAGCCAGCUCCACCUGAGCCCCUGCACCUCAGCUUUGCCCAAUGCUGGAUGUGACUAAAAACGUCACUUCUAAGGGCAAAAGCAACGCGGUUCCUCCUCCACCUCUGCUGACCAUGAAACCUCAGCCUCUACUCUUUUAAUGUCCUGUGCCUGAACUUGCUGCCAGCAGGUCAAGGGGAACAUAAUUUACUCAGGCUUUGAUGCAUUUGAUACAGGUUGGGGUGAGAGGCGGGGGGAGGGAGGUUGCCCAGGAUGGGUUGGAAGGUGCCAGAGCCCUCUGCUAACCGUGAGGUGCUGCCUGGGGGGGCUCCUCGCAGCGGGUGGGAGGCAGCAGGCAUUUGUCUGCAGGCCCCUUCUUAUCUCCUGCUCUGAUGAGGAGAUUGGGAAGGAGGGGAGGCUCUGCCUGUGCUCAGUGCUGCCUGGAGAGGUUUCCGAGUGCUCAGGCUACAAACCCUGAAACACUGUGCACCCCCCCCCCGACUCCUGCCCCUCUCACUCCUCCAGCGACCGCCCUCAGCCACGUGCUGCUCGGUGUAGGACUUUCUGUAGGUACAGGAGCCGCAUCCCAUCCUGAAGCAAAGUGGGAGCUGACAGAUUUUGCAAACAGCCCCUCCCGACGGCACUGUUUUUGGAUUACAGCCUGCACCUCACUAUGAGCACCGCGCCAGAGACUGAUGCUUCCCAGCACAGGGAGAGGAAACCGAGGAAAAACACAGCACCCCCAGCGAGAAGAGGUGCCCAGGCUCUGCCCUGACCCACUGCUGUUCAGCAGGAGGAAGCAAAGUGGUGUGACUGCUGUGGUUUCAGUUCUCACCCCACCUCGCUGCCCAGGAGCCAGGACCGUGGCUUAGGAGAGGAAAAGGUCCUUUGAGCCAACCUGCUCUGGGGGGCUCCCCCAGCCCUACGGAGGGGCUGGAAAGAUGAGGGCCUGGAAAAGCAGGGCACCCCUGCAAACCCCACUCCGGUGUAUUGAUAUUCAGUGCAGAGUGAGGGGUGUAAAUUCAGAGCUAUCUCCUCACCGCUCACCGUUUAUGCCGUUCAUUUCACAUAGAUGUCACUACUGCCUUAUAAGCACUCCUCCGAGCCAGCCGCUUAAAUGGACCCAGUGCAUUAUAGUAAUGGAGUAACUGUAUAAAAACAAUGAAAUCCAAUCUCUUUAAACUGAUUUGAUGUCUGCCUGAACCACAACAUUUCCUGCUAAUGGCUUCCUUCAUUUUGUAACCGUGAUCUCCACCUGAUCAGAUUACAGCUGUUUUUAAUUACAAAGCUAAUAGAGUUUGUAGGCAGUGUCGGGAGGAUGGCGCAUGCCCCAGGCAGAGAGGAGCUGGUGGGGGCUUGGGGUGGCUGUGCUGACAUUCAGCCUAUGGAGCAGACUGUCAUAACACCAGGAUGGGUACAGCUGGGAGGGAUGGGGACAGAAUAGGGAUGUUGGUGCCAUCUGACUGCUACAGCUGAUGGGGCAGGAAAAAGCACUGAGGGUGACUGACAGUGGAAAAAGUCCUCAAGAUUGAUGUCUUUCUUAUGGGAUAGCACAGCCAGCUGCAGGGUUGGAUUCCUCCAUCUCAGCCUGGAUGGUUGAGAUGGGGAGCAUCUGUGCGGCUCAUCCUGGCCCCCCAAAGGCCUCGUUUUGUCUGGCAGUUGGUUUGUUUGCUGACUGCUCCAUUGCUGUGGGUUAGGAGCACAGAGCAGAGUAGCCGUGGGGAGAGAAGCAGUCUGAAAUCUGUUCCCAGAUGGUGAUGGCCGGGGAUGUUUGAUGCCCAGAAAACACUGUGGUGUGUUAGAGAUGCUUCUGAGUAGCCCAUGCUGGUGUUUAGGAUUCGGCUGAUGUUGGGCUCAGCUGAAAAAUGUCAGCAGUGAAGGAGAGCAGCAUCUCCAGCUCGCAGCCAAGUCCUGCUGUGAGAAUCUCCCAUUUGGGGUGCUGGAGUUGCUCACGUGCCCACCAAGGCACAGUGGUGAGCGAUCCACUCCCAGCAGCUUGGGCAAGGGGAGGACAAGGCAGGAGGAACCCCAGAGCACCACGGGGAAGUUCAUGCUGCUGAGACCUGCUUUGGAGCUGCUCCCACCGCCUGCUUCAUCGCACUGCUGAGGACGUUCAUCCUCCUCUGCCUUGGUGCAGGAGCUGCAUGUGCCAGUGACACCAACAUGAGCUGCCAAAACACCAAACACCAACAGCCAGUCCUGCCCGGGUGAGCGGAGCACGAGGACACACCAUCUCCUCCCCAUAACUUGGCACUCUGAGGUUAGCGAGAGCGUUCUCAGAGCAAACCCCAUCCUACACGAGCCGUUGCUGGUGAGACCCACCUGCGUGCGCUGCGCUGUGGAGCAGGAUCAGCACUGCCAUCCAGGCUCUGCCUGUGCCCGAUGCACAAAACCGUGUGUUUGAGGAAGUACUUCUGGAGUUUGAAAAG